AGAACGAACGCUGGCGGCAGGCUUAACACAUGCAAGUCGAACGCCCCGCAAGGGGAGUGGCAGACGGGUGAGUAACGCGUGGGAAUCUACCCAAUUCUACGGAACAACAGUUGGAAACGACUGCUAAUACCGUAUACGCCCUACGGGGGAAAGAUUUAUCGGAAUUGGAUGAGCCCGCGUUGGAUUAGCUAGUUGGUGGGUAAAGGCCUACCAAGGCACGAUCCAUAGCUGGUCUGAGAGGAUGAUCAGCCAACAGUUGGGACUGAGACACCGGCCCAGACUACCUACGGGAGGCAGCAGGUGGGGAAUAGUUCGCACGAAGUAGGGCCACGAAGCCC
rnacentral:rRNA from 1 species